AUUGAACGCUGGCGGCAUGCCUUACACAUGCAAGUCGAACGGUAACAGGUCUUCGGAUGCUGACGAGUGGCGAACGGGUGAGUAAUGCAUCGGAACGUGCCCAGUUGUGGGGGAUAACUACUCGAAAGAGCAGCUAAUACCGCAUACGACCUGAGGGUGAAAGCGGGGGAUCGCAAGACCUCGCGCAAUUGGAGCGGCCGAUGUCAGAUUAGGUAGUUGGUGGGGUAAAGGCCUACCAAGCCGACGAUCUGUAGUUGGUCUGAGAGGACGACCAGCCACACUGGGACUGAGACACGGCCCAGACUCCUACGGGAGGCAGCAGUGGGGAAGUUUGGACAAUGGGCGCAAGCCUGAUCCAGCAAUGCCGCGUGCAGGAAGAAGGCCUUCGGGUUGUAAACUGCUUUUGUCAGGGAAGAAAUCCUCUGGGUUAAUACCCCGGGGGGAUGACGGUACCUGAAGAAUAAGCACCGGCUAACUACGUGCCAGCCGCCGCGGUAAAAC
rnacentral:rRNA from 1 species